rnacentral:rRNA from 1 species
UACGGGGGGGGGCAAGCGUUGUUCGGAAUUACUGGGCGUAAAGGGCUCGUAGGCGGCCAACUAAGUCCGACGUGAAAUCCCAAGGCUUAACCUUGGAACUGCGUCGGAUACUGGAUGGCUUGAAUUCGGGAGAGGGAUGCAGAAUUCCAGGUGUAGCGGUGAAAUGCGUAGAGAUGUGGAGGAACACCAGUGGCGAAGGCGACUCUUUGGCCUGUAACUGACGCUGAGGCGCGAAAGCGUGGGGGAGCAAACAGG